rnacentral:rRNA from 1 species
UACGAAGGGUGCAAUCGUUACUCGGAAUUACUGGGCGUAAAGCGUGCGUAGGUGGUUGUUUAAGUCUGUUGUGAAAGCCCUGGGCUCAACCUGGGAACUGCAGUGGAAACUGGACAACUAGAGUGUGGUAGAGGGUAGCGGAAUUCCCGGUGUAGCAGUGAAAUGCGUAGAGAUCGGGAGGAACAUCCAUGGCGAAGGCAGCUACCUGGACCAACACUGACACUGAGGCACGAAAGCGUGGGGAGCAAACAGG